AUUGAACGCUGGCGGCAGGCCUAACACAUGCAAGUCGAACGAGCGGCGGACGGGUGAGUAAUGACUGGGAAACCGCCUGAGGGAGGGGGAUAACUACUGGAAAUGGUAGCUAAUACCGCAUAACCUCGGAUGUGCCGAGAUGGGAUUAGCUAGUAGGGGGGGUAAAGGCUCACCAAGGCGACGAUCCCUAGCUGGUCUGCGAGGAAGGCCGGCCGCCCUGGAACUGAAACACGGUCCAGACUCCUACGGAAUACGGCCGUGGGGAUUAUUGCACAAUGGGAGCAAACCUACUGCAGCCAUGCCACAGGUAUGAAGGAGGCCUUCAGGAUGUAAAGUCCUUUCAGCGGGAAGGCGUUACCCGCAAAAGCAGCACCAGCUAACUCCGUGCCAGCCGCCGCGGUAAUUC
rnacentral:rRNA from 1 species